rnacentral:rRNA from 1 species
CCUACGUGAGUCAGCAGUGGGGAAUAUUGCACAAUGGGGGAAACCCUGAUGCAGCGACGCCGCGUGAGUGAAGAAGUAAUUCGUUAUGUACAGCUCUAUCAGCAGGGAAGAAAAUGACGGUACCUGAGUAAGAAGCCCCGGCUAACUACGUGCCAGCAGCCGCGGUAAUACGUAGGGGGCAAACGUUAUCCGGAUUUACUGGGUGUAAAGGGAGCGUAGACGGCAGUGCAAGUCUGGAGUGAAAGGCGGGGGCUCAACCCCCGGACUGCACUGGAAACUGUACGGCUGGAGUGCAGGAGAGGUAAGUGGAAUUCCUAGUGUAGCGGUGAAAUGCGUAGAUAUUAGGAGGAACACCAGUGGCGAAGGCGGCUUACUGGACUGUAACUGACGUUGAGGCUCGAAAGCGUGGGGAGCAAACAGGAUUAGAUACCCUAGUAGGC